rnacentral:tRNA from 1 species
GGAGAGGUGACAGAGCGGCCGAAUGUGGCGGUCUUGAAAACCGCUGUGCGCUUGGCGCACCGGGGGUUCGAAUCCCUCCCUCUCCG